CUAUCAACAGGGCUGAAAAACAGUAGCUGGUGUCAAUAAUAAGCCAUGAACACACAAACCAGGUUACGCUGCGGAAAAAGCGUUCUGGAUCUCAAUGGCUUACGAGGUUGUCUCCACAUAUUUACAUGCUAUGUCCAUCGCGAGUGAGCUAUGGCUCUGCUUCACGGCGUCCUGCCUUGGGAUUCGGGCUGACAGAGAAGCUUCUAUCUGGAACACUGGAGCAGAGGGAAAAGAGAGCUUGGCAAAGCCCAAACUGGCUCUUAGAGCUGGACGUGACACACAUUACUUGUCACCUUCCAUUGGCCAAAUCAGGUCGCAUGGCCAAGCCCAACAUGAUUAGGAAGAGAAACUCUUACUCUCCCCUAAGCAGACGCACGGUCACACUUGGAGGGAGAGCUUCAGGUGUACUUGCUGGGAGCCAGUGUGGAAGGUCGCAGGAGAAGACCCUUGUCAUAGCAAGACAACCUGCUGUGAAAGUUGGAGAGCACCAAGACUGCAGCCUGGAGACCAGGUAAAAGGCAACAGAAACAUAAAGACCUGAAACACAGACACGACACCCAGGCUGGAGAGGAAGCAGGCUGGUGAGCCAAUAGAAGGCCUAACUGGCCGGGCUUGCACAGGAGCCUGGGUGGGGGAAGGGGCGGUGCAGGAUGAGCCCAGGUUGCCCGGUUUGGGUGUCUCCCUUUUGUAGGUGCCCAGAGAUGGGAGCUAAGGGAAGAGCCAGUGCAGGUACAGGGAGGUGACAACGCUGGCUGGAGUCACUAGUCAGGACAGAGGGGAAAUGAUCUCUCAGACCACUGGAAUCUGGGGCUGGGGAAAGAGGACCAGGCUGCAGAUACCUAUUUGUGAGUCACUGUACCAAGGUGGUGGUUGGAGCUGCGGGUGAGACUGCCUGGGGGGCUGGGGUGCAGAGAGAGUGGAGACCCUUGGACGGAAUCCUGUUUUCCAUUCCUUGCAAAUCUUGCUCUAGAGCUCUUCUCCCACCGCUAGGGCUCUUCUCCCACCGCUUGCAGCCCCCAGAGUGUCUCCCAACCACUCCUCCUUUGAAGUCAAAACCAUUGGCUAAACAGUCACAGACCGGAGAUGUUUUGGGUUCUGACAACUCCCUGUAUUUCUGGUAGCUUCCACGUGUCUCGCUCUUAUCUUCCUGACUCCAACCGUAAGCUCACUCAGGCUGGGGCUCUAUUUUUGUACCCUCUCCCCCACCUUACUCUAUAUCAGUUCCAUCCAGUAACAAUCCGCCCUCUGAGGACUAUAGGCUCCCUCAUUGAAGAUCCUGGGUCCAGCCGAAGAACACCGUGUCGGAGGACAAAGUUCAGUUCUCCUCCGAGAGCCCUGCACCUGUGUCCCUCCUGCCAGCACCUGGGGCCCAGGACUGACUCACCGAGUCAACAUCUCUCCCAUCUGCUUGGUGGAUUCCCAAACCCUGACACCGUGUGAAGCCCUUGGAAGACUGGUGGUUUAUUUUACUAAAAAUAAGCUGGAUAUUGAAGCAGCAAGUUGAAACACAAAGCA
rnacentral:lncRNA from 1 species